rnacentral:rRNA from 1 species
GCGUUGUCCGGAUUUAUUGGGCGUAAAGCGAGCGCAGGCGGUUUGAUAAGUCUGAAGUUAAAGGCUGUGGCUCAACCAUAGUUCGCUUUGGAAACUGUCAAACUUGAGUGCAGAAGGGGAGAGUGGAAUUCCAUGUGUAGCGGUGAAAUGCGUAGAUAUAUGGAGGAACACCGGUGGCGAAAGCGGCUCUCUGGUCUGUAACUGACGCUGAGGCUCGAAAGCGUGG